AUUGAACGCUGGCGGCAGGCCUAACACAUGCAAGUCGAGCGGUAGAGAGGUGCUUGCAUCUCUUGAGAGCGGCGGACGGGUGAGUAAUGCCUAGGAAUCUGCCUAGUGGUGGGGGAUAACGUUCGGAAACGGACGCUAAUACCGCAUACGUCCUACGGGAGAAAGCGGGGGGAUCUUCGGACCUCGCGCCAUUAGAUGAGCCUAGGUCGGAUUAGCUAGUUGGUGAGGUAAUGGCUCACCAAGGCGACGAUCCGUAACUGGUCUGAGAGGAUGAUCAGUCACACUGGAACUGAGACACGGUCCAGACUCCUACGGGAGGCAGCAGUGGGGAAUAUUGGACAAUGGGCGAAAGCCUGAUCCAGCCAUGCCGCGUGUGUGAAGAAGGUCUUCGGAUUGUAAAGCACUUUAAGUUGGGAGGAAGGGUAGUAACCUAAUACGUUGCUACUUUGACGUUACCGACAGAAUAAG
rnacentral:rRNA from 1 species